UACGUAGGGUGCGAGCGUUGUCCGGAAUUAUUGGGCGUAAAGGGCUCGUAGGCGGUUUGUCGCGUCGGGAGUGAAAACAUCGGGCUUAACUCGAUGCUUGCUUUCGAUACGGGCAGACUUGAGGUAUGCAGGGGAGAAUGGAAUUCCUGGUGUAGCGGUGAAAUGCGCAGAUAUCUGGAGGAAUACCGGUGGCGAAGGCGGCAUCCUGGACCAUUACUGACGCUGAGGCGCGAAAGCUAGGGGAG
rnacentral:rRNA from 1 species